rnacentral:lncRNA from 1 species
UACUGCUGCCAGAUGCAAUUGUUGUUCCCUAUCUAAAGUUUGGCCAUUUCUCAUGAUCUGUGCAUUUACACUGGGUAAGCUGGUCUCUGAUUCUCCCAGCAGUUCUUUAUAGAAUGCCUUUACUUCAUUUUCAAUUUCUUCAUAUGUAUACACUAUACUACUUGCUGCAUUUGUGAGACUUGUUAUAGUAUUGUGAGCCACUCUAUUCUUC